rnacentral:rRNA from 1 species
GACGAACGCUGGCGGCGUGCCUCAUACAUGCAAGUGGAGCGACGAACCAGGGCUUUGCCCUGGGGCUAAGCCGCGAACGGGUGAGUAACACGUGGGUAACCUGCCCCGAAGACCGGGACA